rnacentral:lncRNA from 1 species
ACGUUUUCUUUCCGGACACAUCCAGUGGAUACUGUGCAGACCUUCUCCAGCUAAUCUCAGGAAGGCUGAAGUUUUUAGACGGCUACCCUUCAUAUUUAGGGAGAGAAUAUAACCAUGUGGAAAGUCUAGUCUUCAUGUGGAACAUCUGUUACGAAGAAAUUCUACUUGGAAAGCUUGUCUGCUCUAUUAACCCAUCCCUGUUGCUCACUUGGAAGAAGAGGGCCUUCACUUUCCACUGUAAGAAGAAGGUCUUCUGUUGCUCUGAACGCUUCUGUUUAGAGACCUUUCUUCACUGUCCCCAAGGCUGAACAGUAUUCCCUGAUGCGCAUGCGGCACAUGCCCCACAGCCUCAUUACCCACUCAUCUGUUGAAGGACACUUACUCUGCUCCCAUUCCCUGGAGCUUAUGAAUAGGUGGCAACGAACAUGGUUCGGCUCUGCAUGGAUCUAUGAAACAAGGUGAUGAAUCCCCAGAGUGUAUGCCAACGGAUGGUCUAGCUGGGUCAUAUGAUAGAUUUUAGGGUGUUUUAGGAUCAGCAUACUGAUUUUCGAAGUAGCUGCACCAAUUUGUUCUCUCACCAACAGUUAAUAAGAGUUCCCUUCCUUCAUAGCCUUGCUAGCAAGACACGGUCUCAUUCUGUAGCCAAGGCCUAGCUUAUUAUGCUGUACCAGCUGGUCUCAAACCCCCAACAAUCCUCCGACCUCAGCACUUCCCAGGUAAUAGGAGUACUGGCUAUAGGAUGUUUUUGCUUUGUUUGUUUUCUAGAAAAAAGAUUUCUAGCUGAAAGCCAGGUAUAUUUGUUUCCCUUCUUCUAAGUAUAUCCUCUAUACUUAACUUAUAGUUAACUACAGACUAAAGAAUAUUUGUUAUCCAUACCUUAUCUUUAUGUCCUGCAUAAAUCCAAUGGUUUUAAAGUUUUAAUUUAUUACAAUCAAAAA